UGAAUACGAGAUGCUACGGCGUCGAAGCAGUCUAUGUCAUACUUCCAAGAAAAGCUUGCACUGUCAUAAACAAAUAAUGCCUGUACCAUAACCGACACAGGUGGGUAGGUAGAGUAUACUAAGGGGCGCGAGAUAACUCUCUCUAAGGAACUCGGCAAAAUGACUCCGUAACUUCGGGAGAAGGAGUGCCUUAUUUAUAAGGUUGCAAUAACAAGAUCCAAGCAACUGUUUACCAAAAACACAGGUCUCCGCUAAGUCGUAAGACGAUGUAUGGGGGCUGACGCCUGCCCAGUGCCAGAAGGUUAAAGAAGUUGGUUAGCAUCCGCGAUGCUGAUAACUGAAGCCCUGGUGAACGGCGGCCGUAACUAUAACGGUCCUAAGGUAGCGAAAUUCCUUGUCGGGUAAGUUCCGACCCGCACGAAAGGCGUAAUGAUUUGGAUACUGUCUCGGAGAGGGGCUCGGUGAAAUAGACUUGUCUGUGAAGAUGCGGACUACCUGCACCAGGACAGAAAGACCCUAUGAAGCUUUACUGUAACCUGAAAUUGAAAUUGGACUUUACUUGCGCAGUAUAGGUGGAGGCGUUGAGAAUAUUCUUGCGGGAUUAUUGGAGCCAUCAGUGAGAUACCACUCUUGUAAUGUUAGAUUUCUAACUUUGUAUCAUUAUCUGGUCAAAGAACAGUUCCAGGCGGGCAGUUUGACUGGGGCGGUCGCCUCCUAAACGGUAACGGAGGCGCACAAAGGUUUCCUCUGAACGGGUAGAAAUCGUAUCUAGAGUGUAAAGGCAUAAGGAAGCUUGACUGUGAGACCUACAAGUCGAGCAGGGACGAAAGUCGGUCUUAGUGAUCUGACGGUGCUGAGUGGAAAGGCCGUCACUCAACGGAUAAAAGUUACUCUAGGAUAACAGGCUGAUCUCCCCCAAGAGUUCACAUCGACGGGGAGGUUUGGCACCUCGAUGUCGGCUCAUCGCAUCCUGGGGCGGUAGUACGUCCCAAGGGUUGGGCUGUUCGCCCAUGAAAGCGGUACGCGAGCUGGGUUCAGAACGUCGUGAGACAGUUCGGUCCAUAUCCGGUGUGGGCGUUAGAAUAUUGAGAGGAGCCUUCUUUAGUACGAGAGGACCGAGAAGGACAUACCUCUGGUGUACCAGUUAUCGUGCCAACGGUAAACGCUGGGUAGCUAUGUGUGGAGUGGAUAACCGCUGAAAGCAUCUAAGUGGGAAGCCCACCUCAAGAUAAGUAUUCCC
rnacentral:rRNA from 1 species